rnacentral:rRNA from 1 species
ACGAGCGGCGGACGGCUGAGUAACGCGUAGGAACCUACCCCAAACUGAGGGAUAAGCACCAGAAAUGGUGUCUAAUACCGCAUGUGCUCCACGGAGUAAAGCUUCGGCGGUUUGGGAAGGGCCUGCGUCCGAUUAGCUUGUUGGUGAGGUAAUGGCCCACCAAGGCGACGAUCGGUAGCUGGUCUGAGAGGAUGAUCAGCCAGACUGGGACUGAGAACGGCCCAG